rnacentral:snRNA from 2 species
GUGCUUGCUUCGGCAGCACAUAUACUAAAACUGGAACGAUACAGAGAAGAUUAGCUUGGCCCCUGUGCAAGGAUGACAUGCAAAUUCAUGAAGCGUUCCAUAUUUUU